GCACCGUAGAAUCGGCACCGUGCGACGUCCAUUCUCGUCACUUUGCACACCGCCAAUCGAGCUACGGCUAAGGUGAGUACUGAAUCUUCUUCCUUCCUCCUCGUGGUGGUUUUUCGUUGUCCUUUUUGGGUGUGCCACAGUUUCCAGAUUCUUCGUUCUCUUUUCUUGCUGUCAAGAAUAUUCAGAUGGCGAAGAAAAGAAUCCAUACGCCCAUUUAGAACUAACCACCGUCUGUGUUAUCUGCAAGAAAUAUUCAACUUCUCUGGUAAGCCUACAUGGGAAACAAACCCGCGAAGCAAUCAGGAGGAAGGGAUGAAAUGUUGAAGAUAGUGCCUCCUUUGGACCAAGCAUAUAUUAGGUGGCUCGCACGGGAUGUCGAGAGGAUUCAUGGCUUCACCCCAAGAAACCCUCGUGCCGUGAAGCCUCCCGAUCACUACAUAGAGUUCAUGCGCUUGAACGGAUGGUUGGACGUGAGUUUAGAUGAUCCUGAUCUCGCACGGUUACUCAAAUAGCAUUCUCUUGCAACUUGAAAGUGUACCAAUGUCAAGUUUUGUGUAUCUUCUGCCAUUUGCCAUUUGAGGUAAUUCUGUUUAUAUCAAACAGUUGCCGGUUAGCAAUGUCUGAUAGCGAGGAAUUAUGGAAUAAAACUGAUGUUUGUAAUGCCAUACUUAUCUCCAUGGAUGAACUUUCAAGAUUAUACUGCACUUGAAAA